GAGAGAAUCGGAGGUUCCCAGCCAGAGACCCAUUUGCCUCAGGAAGCCGAGUUCAUCUGGAUUCCCACCAUGGCCUGGGCCCCUCUGCUCCUCACACUGCUCACUUACUGCGUUGGUUUAAGUUCCCAACAGCUCCAGCCGCUGAAGACAUCUGAGUUCGUGUCUCCUGGCGGGACCGUGACCCUCUCCUGUAGCCUGAGCAGUGGGGCCAUCACUGAUAAUAACUACCCACGCUGGGUUCAACAGAGACUGGGGAAUGUUCCUCGGCUGAUCAUGUACAGCACGAGUACCAGGCCCUCCGGGAUCCCAGCGCGUUUCACUGGCUCCAGAUCGGAACAUGCUCUGUACCCAGUGAGCAGGGGGCUGAUUUGCAUGAAGGGGCAGUUCUCCAGCUCUGGGGGUUUAAGAGAGAAUCGGAGGGUCCCAGCCACAGACCCAUUUGCCUCAGGAAGCCGAGCUCGUCUGGAUCCUAACGACGCUGCCCUGACCAUCACCGGUGUCCAGGUAGAGGAUGAUGCUGACUAUUACUGUGCUGUGUAUACGGUUUGUGCUGACUCAGCCGCCCUCAGUAUCAGCGUCUCCUGGGCAAACGGUUACGAUCUCCUGUGCCAGGAGCAGCGGCAGCAUCACUGCUAG